GACUUGUGGCUGUGGACUCUUGAAAUAAAUGCUUCGGCCAUUUAUUUGCCUCCUUCUUUUCAGAUCACUUUUCGUGCUAUGUAUCAUGUGAGAUUCGAGAGGAUUUGAGUUUUGGCCUUGUGAUUCUAAAAUAUGAUACACAGCUGCACCAUUUACAUGCUGAAGAUGUCAAAACAAGUCUGUCUCGAGCAAGCACCAAGGAUUUACAGGUCUCCUCUGCAGAUCCAGUACUUUGAACUUGUCAGCAGAAAUGAAGAUAAACUUGGAG